UAAGAAGAAGCAUCAGAAAUCAUAUCUCCAAUCAACAUCCCACCUAAAGCACCUCCAAGCAACCCUGCUCCCAAUCCCAUUCCCAUUUUAUUCUUCUUAGGCUUCUGUGCUUGUGCCCCUGGAUAUCCAUAACCCGGUUGUUGCGGCGGGUAUCCAUAACCCGGUUGUUGUGGUGGAUAUCCAUAACCCGGUUGUUGUGGCGGGUAACCAUGACCCUGUUGAGGUGGAUAGCCAUAACCUGGUUGAGCUGGUGGAUAACCACCAGGUUGAGCCGGUGGGUAGCCACCAUAAGCAGCCGCUGCCGGUGGUGCAGGUGGAUAUCCAUAACCCGGUUGUUGCGGCUGAGGAGGAUAAGGUGUACCAUACGGCACCGAGCUAGACCCAGCUGCCGCCAUUCCAGGUGGAGGAUAAGCCAUCACCGGUUCAUGUUCGUUUUUUCCCUUCACCGGUUCAUGUUUCGAC
rnacentral:lncRNA from 1 species